UCAGUUGUGAAAGUUUGCGGCUCAACCGUAAAAUUGCAGUUGAUACUGGGCGCCUUGAGUGCAGCAUAGGUAGGCGGAAUUCGUGGUGUAGCGGUGAAAUGCUUAGAUAUCACGAAGAACUCCGAUUGCGAAGGCAGCUUACUGGACUGUAACUGACGCUGAUGCUCGAAAGUGUGGGUAUCAAACAGGAUUAGAUACCCUGGUAGUCCACACAGUAAACGAUGAAUACUCGCUGUUGGCGAUACACAGUCAGCGGCCAAGCGAAAGCAUUAAGUAUUCCACCUGGGGAGUACGCCGGCAACGGUGAAACUCAAAGGAAUUGACGGGGGCCCGCACAAGCGGAGGAACAUGUGGUUUAAUUCGAUGAUACGCGAGGAACCUUACCCGGGCUUAAAUUGCAGAUGAAUUACGGUGAAAGCCGUAAGCCGCAAGGCAUCUGUGAAGGUGCUGCAUGGUUGUCGUCAGCUCGUGCCGUGAGGUGUCGGCUUAAG
rnacentral:rRNA from 1 species